AGAGUUUGAUCCUGGCUCAGAAUCAACGCUGGCGGCGUGCCUAACACAUGCAAGUCGAACGCGAAAGGGACUUCGGUCCUGAGUAGAGUGGCGAACGGGUGAGUAACGCGUGGGUGACCUACCCUCGAGUGGGGGAUAACGUUCCGAAAGGGACGCUAAUACCGCAUGACAUUCCUGGUUUGAAGACUGGGAAAUCAAAGCCGGGGACCGCAAGGCCUGGCGCUUGAGGAGGGGCCCGCGUCUGAUUAGCUAGUUGGCGGGGUAACGGCCCACCAAGGCGACGAUCAGUAGCCGGCCUGAGAGGGCGGACGGCCACACUGGGACUGAGACACGGCCCAGACUCCUACGGGAGGCAGCAGUGGGGAAUUGUUCGCAAUGGGCGCAAGCCUGACGACGCAACGCCGCGUGGAGGAUGAAGGUCUUCGGAUUGUAAACUCCUGUCGAUCGGGACGAAAAGCUCCAACCUAAUACGUUGGAGACUGACGGUACCGGUUGAGGAAGCCACGGCUAACUCUGUGCCAGCAGCCGCGGUAAUACAGAGGUGGCAAGCGUUGUUCGGAAUUACUGGGCGUAAAGGGCGCGUAGGCGGCCUUCUAAGUCGGACGUGAAAGCCCCAGGCUUAACCUGGGAACUGCGUCUGAUACUGGGAGGCUUGGAUUCGGGAGAGGGAUGUGGAAUUCCAGGUGUAGCGGUGAAAUGCGUGGAUAUCUGGAGGAACACCGGUGGCGAAGGCGGCAUCCUGGACCGAGAUCGACGCUGAGGCGCGAAAGCUAGGGGAGCAAACGGGAUUAGAUACCCCG
rnacentral:rRNA from 1 species